AUGUACUCCCUCUGUCCCUAAAUAUAAGGGAUUUUGGUUGGAUGUGACACAUUCUAGUACAACGAAUCUGGACAUAAAGCCUGUCCAGAUUCGUUGUACUAGGAUAAGUCACAUCCAACCAAAAUCCCUUAUAUUUAGGGACAGAGAGAG
rnacentral:misc_RNA from 1 species